UUAAGUUCAGCGGGUAGUCCUACCUGAUUUGAGAUCAAAUGUUCAAAUGUGUCCUCACAGAGGAGAGACGUUUAUAAGCUCCAGCGAACCUCCAUUGCUGAAGGUUACCUGGCGGGGAAACCACAAGCGUAGAUAGUUAUCACACCUGUGACGCCACCAAAAACUGGCAAGCUAAUUCAUUUAAGAGGAGCUGGCUCACA
rnacentral:misc_RNA from 1 species